GAACUCGAUUCGCUGGUACAUAAACUAAAAUUGGAAGUAUACAGAGAAGAUUAACAUUGCCCCUGCGCAAGGAUGCCAAUUGCAAGAAAAGGUGGGAAGCGACCUCUC